rnacentral:rRNA from 1 species
GUUGUAAUCUGCAGAGGGAGUUUCGGGUGAAGUCUGGUUUAAGUUCCUUGGAACAGGACGUCAUAGAGGGUGAGAACCCCGUCAGUGACCAAUCACUAACCCGUGUGAAACCCCUUCGACGAGUCGAGUUGUUUGGGAAUGCAGCUCUAAAUGGGUGGUAAAUUUCAUCUAAAGCUAAAUAUUGGCCGGAGACCGAUAGCGCACAAGUAGAGUGAUCGAAAGAUGAAAAGCACUUUGGAAAGAGAGUUAAAUAGUACGUGAAAUUGUUGAAAGGGAAGCGCUUGCGGCCAGACCUGUGCAUAGGUGAUCAGUUGGUAUUUUUACCAAUGCACUCACCUAAAGCCAGGCCAGCAUCGGUUUCGGCGGCGGGACAAAAGCGUGGAGAAUGUAACUCUCUCUUGGGUGAGUACUUAUAGCUCGUCAUGAAAUGCCGCCAGCCGAGACCGAGGACCGCGCUUCGGCUAGGAUGCUGGCGUAAUGGUUGCAAGCGACCCGUCUUGAAACACGGACCAAGGAGUCUAACAUCUAUGCAAGUGUUUGGGUGUAAAACCCGGGCGCGGAAUGAAAGUGAACGGAGGUGGGAACCCUUAAAGGGGGUGCACCAUCGACCGAUCCUGAUGUCUUCGGAUGGAUUUGAGUAUGAGCAUAGCUGUUGGGACCCGAAAGAUGGUGAACUAUGCCUGAACAGGGUGAAGCCAGAGGAAACUCUGGUGGAAGCUCGCAGCGGUUCU